UGUUCUGGUUUAGACACGUGCUACUCUAGGCCAAUGAGCUGCUGAAACGUGGUACAGGCUCCGCCUGCCGCCCCUGCCUAGGAGGACACAGAUUUUUCUUUUCUCUCUUCCGCUCGCGAACCUUCCAUGAGCAAGCUAGUGAGGAAACGAGACACGGCGAUUUACUGAGACGAGUCGAGAAAGGUCGGGAGUUAGAGACGACGCCAUUUCAUCGGUCGUGCGCCAUCUUGCGCUGCUCCGUCUUUCUAAUUCUGAGAUCGGUCAGGUUUUUUUUCUUUUGUUUGGUUUUGGGGUUUUUUUUUUUUUUGUUUCUUUGGUUUGUAUCUUCUUGGUGCAUUCCAACGGAUCCUGAAAUUGAUGG